UCUGUUUUUGAUGGUUGAUAUGAUUUCCUUCUGCAUCAGGCUAUGUCAAGAAUGCCAAACUUUGAUUGAAGACCAUGAUAAGAUAAAGCUUCUCAGCAAUGCGAGGAAUAACUUGAAUACAACCUUAAAGGUUUGUGAACUUUGUUCUCAUGAAUUUUCAAUUUUCGGUUCACAAAGAGAAGGAGAUUGUGCAAGUAGUUAGAACUGUUUGCUUCAUGCAAGAAUGAUGAUUGAUGAAUACUUUUCAUUAUGUCUUAUUAGCACUUGAUUGCAGGGAUCCCAUACCUUCGGUAAUGUAACUUUCCAUUAGCCUUGAGAGUAAACCAAUUGUCACUCUGUAAACCAGUUGCAGUGAGGCAGCGGUGGAUUCUGAGAAUGCUGUAGCUGCCGUAAAUGUAAGUACUUGGAGCACCAAAUGAGAGUAUUUGGCUGCUGUAUAAUUAGCACAACAACUUCCUGUAUUUGGGGCACUGCAACAUCCUAGAACUCUUUCAAUGAGGAAGCCCCAUUACUGUUCUUUAGGCCAUGGAGAGUGCCAAUGUUAUGAAGUGAAGCCUACUUUUGAAGACAAAAGCUAAGAAGAGCAGGAGAUCAGUGAAUAGAACUUGACUUGGAUUUUUUUCUGUUCUCUUAUUUUGUAGAUACAAUUGCAUUAUCAGACCCAUUUAGAUUGUUAUGGGAUUAUAACAACUAUCUAUUAUGAUUAAUUUUAUGUUCUUUUGGUCA